rnacentral:rRNA from 1 species
AGAACAAACGCUGGCGGCGUGUCUUAAGCAUGCAAGUUGAGCGGCAAGGAGGAGAGAUCCUCCCUAGAGCGGCGGACUGGUGAGUAACGCGUGGGUAAUCUAUCGUAGGCAGUGGGGAUAGUCACUAGAAAUAGUGGGUAAUACCGAAUACGUUCCAUGAGGGGAGUAUUCAUGGAAGAAAGGGUGCUACGGCACUGGCCUUAGGUGAGCUCGCGUCCCAUUAGCUAGUUGGUGAGGUAAAGGCCCACCAAGGCGAUGAUGGGUAGCCGGCCUGAGAGGGUGUACGGCCACACUGGGACUGAGAUACGGCCCAGACUCCUACGGGAGGCAGCAGCUAAGAAUAUUCCGCAAUGGACGAAAGUCUGACGGAGCGACGCCGCGUGGAUGAAGAAGGCCGAAAGGUUGUAAAGUUCUUUUGCUGGGGGAGAAUAAGUGAGGGAGGGAAUGCCCUCAUGAUGACAAGGACUAGCGAAUAAGCCCCGGCCAACUACGUG